AUUGAACGCUGGCGGCAGGCCUAACACAUGCAAGUCGAACGGUAACAGGAAGCAGCUUGCUGCUUUGCUGACGAGUGGCGGACGGGUGAGUAAUGUCUGGGAAACUGCCCGAUGGAGGGGGAUAACUACUGGAAACGGUAGCUAAUACCGCAUAACGUCGCAAGACCAAAGAGGGGGACCUUAGGGCCUCUUGCCAUCGGAUGUGCCCAGAUGGGAUUAGCUAGUAGGUGGGGUAACGGCUCACCUAGGCGACGAUCCCUAGCUGGUCUGAGAGGAUGACCAGCCACACUGGAACUGAGACACGGUCCAGACUCCUACGGGAGGCAGCAGUGGGGAAUAUUGCACAAUGGGCGCAAGCCUGAUGCAGCCAUGCCGCGUGUAUGAAGAAGGCCUUCGGGUUGUAAAGUUCUUUCAGCGGGGAGGAAGGAAGUAAAAUUAAUCCCUUUGCUCAUUGACGUUACCCGCACAAGAAGCACCGGCUAACUCCGUG
rnacentral:rRNA from 1 species